rnacentral:rRNA from 1 species
UUGAACGCUGGCGGCAUGCCUUACACAUGCAAGUCGAACGGCAGCACGGGGGCAACCCUGGUGGCGAGUGGCGAACGGGUGAGUAAUACAUCGGAACGUGCCCUGAAGUGGGGGAUAACGUAGCGAAAGUUACGCUAAUACCGCAUAUUCUGUGAGCAGGAAAGCAGGGGAUCGCAAGACCUUGCGCUUUAGGAGCGGCCGAUGUCGGAUUAGCUAGUUGGUGAGGUAAAGGCUCACCAAGGCGACGAUCCGUAGCGGGUCUGAGAGGACGACCAGCCACACUGGGACUGAGACACGGCCCAGACUCCUACGGGAGGCAGCAGUGGGGAAUUUUGGACAAUGGGCGCAAGCCUGAUCCAGCAAUGCCGCGUGCAGGAAGAAGGCCUUCGGGUUGUAAACUGCUUUUGUACGGAACGAAAAGGUCUGGGUUAAUACCCUGGGCUCAUGACGGUACCGUAAGAAUAAGCACCGGCUAACUACGU